AAUUAAGAGGUGAUUUUUGGAUGAAAUGAAGUAGCUAGUUUAAGGAUCUAAGAGAUUUCUUACCUUAGAUGAUGAUUUUUGUGUAAAAAUCCCCUUGAACACUUCUUAGAUCUCGAAAUAUGGAUGAGAUAUGAGAGAGUUUUCUUGAGAGAAAGGAGAGUGAAGUGUGUGUGUGUGUGUGCUUGAAGUCGGCCGAGAGCAAGAGAGAGAGGGAGAAAAAGAGUUAGCUAGUCAUGGAAGUAUGUGAGUGCAUGGAUGUUUGGGUCUUCUUGCAUGGAAGUCCCUUGAACAAUGGUGAGGUGGCACUCACAAAGUCAACUCUCCUCUUCUUUUGGGCUUGGGCCGAGANNNNNNNNNNNNNNNNNNNNNNNNNNNNNNNNNNNNNNNNNNNNNNNNNNNNNNNNNNNNNNNNNNNNNNNNNNNNNNNNNNNNNNNNNNNNNNNNNNNNNNNNNNNNNNNNNNNNNNNNNNNNNNNNNNNNNNNNNNNNNNNNNNNNNNNNNNNNNNNNNNNNNNNNNNNNNNNNNNNNNNNNNNNNNNNNNNNNNNNNNNNNNNNNNNNNNNUUGCUCCUGGAACGAGGUCAAUUCGGAACUCAACUUGUCUCUCUGGGUGUACUCUAGGAAGAUCUUCAGGAAAUAUGUCUGGGAAUUCACGUGCUAAUGGAAUGUCUUGAAUGUUAACCUCUUCCUUGGUUUUAUCCACUAUGUGAGCCAGGAACGUCAAAUCGUUCUUUCGUAGAUGCUUCUGUGCCUGGAUGCACGAGAUGAGGCGAAGGUUCGUGCUAGGUUUGUCUCCGUAAAUAACUAGGGUUUCGUGAUUGGGAAGGUGAAGGCGAACGGCCUUCACGUGACACAUAAUUUCAGCAUGGUGGGGGCUUAACCAGUCCAUGCCAAUAAUCACAUCGAAACUCCUAAUGGAAACAGGCAUUAAGUCUAUUAGAAAGAUGUGUUGAUUUAGGGUUAGGGUACCUCCGAUGUAGAUUUCCCCAGUGGAUUCGGUUUUCCCAUUGGCCAUUUCCACCGUAAAGGUUUCACUGAGCUUCUGGGGUNAGAUUUGGUUACAUCUACCACGAGAGUCAUGGGUCUAAAACCAUAAUAGAAUCGUUUAGUGAUGGAAACCCAACUUGAAAUUAGUGCUCCUAAUUUUCAAGUUUAACGGGUAUCAACGAAAUCACUAACGAUAGAAGGUACUAUCAUUCAUGAUAGAUCCAUGUGAGGUAGGAUAGUACGUCGUUGCCGAGAACGAGGUUGAGUUACGACUCUUAACAUAGUUUUGGAGACAUCUAAGCAACGAAGAUGUUGNUCGUCGGUGUUGAUGUUGUUGUUGUUGCGGUUGUUUUUGUUGCUGUUUCCCUGUUGUUGAUUCUGAGGAGGGUAAGNCUAGAGGUGGUGUCGCCUCAAGUGAAGAUUAGUGGUUUAUCUUCUAAAGAGUCAUGAAAAGGAUUUAUAACGCAUGGCCAUAAUAGCGCUCAGGGAGAACACAAAUAUGACUUGUGAUGUGUGGGGGUAACCCGGAGAGGUCAUUGAGGUUCAUGGUUUAAACCAAUAAGGAUACCAUUGAAUCGGUCUCUUCUUGUUUGUUCUCAAUAAACUAGGGUUUAAUCUUCGUGACACCCGGGUGACAUCAUCUGUCUGAGUGAAAGGAAACUUACCAACUUGGUGGGGGAUUGUUGGAACUUUAUAUAUAAAGGAAUUGAAGUUGGCAAUUUCCUUUGUAUCCCACAUUGGUGGGGGGAAGAAACUUUUGUGAGUUUAUAAGCCUAUUCCCUUGGUAAGCCUUCAAAGGAUUUAGUGGAUCAAAGGAAUGGGCCAAGCCCACACGCGCGCCUAGCCUAGCCUAGCAGUAGUCGACGCUGCGAGUGCGCUAAAUGGUGCGAUUUAGGCGCACUUUGCACUUCGCACGACGCUUCGGUCGCUGGGAGCUGAGGAGCUUUUAUUUUUGACGAGCUCGGGUCAAGCCGGUUUGACCGAUCUGGUCAAAUGGUUGACCGGUGUUGACUUCACGUUGACUUCGUGGAGGACAAGUCAGGGUAUUCUAGAAGGAGCAGGAAAUGGCUUGCUUGGAGAGCAAGUUGUCUCCCUAGGGUUUCUGGGGCCGGCUUAUGGGGGCCCGUUUGAUGCCUUCUAGGGUUAUAAUACCUAUAAAUACAGCUCCCUAGGAGCCGCAUUAACCUCUCACGAAAUCUGAAAGCUCUCCCCUCUCUCUCUCUUUGCGUUUUUUUUGGUUUCCAAGUAGUCGCUUUGUGUUUGUCGAUUUCCAGUGUUGUUGGAAUAUCGAUCAAGUUGCAUUAAAUCAUGGGGUUUUACUCUGUUGCUUACAGCCAGUAGAAGCGAAGUAAAAACCUUUAAGGACAGGAGUCUGAUCAGUGUAGUUGCUUCAAGAUCAAGAUCAGCAAUCAACAGAUCGGUUUUACUUUUCUGUCUUAUGGUUAAUUCAUCCGAUAACAGGACAGUCUUCUUCUACCUUUCUUAUAAUCAGAUCUAAUCGAGAAGGAUAGAUCUGAUUUCUGGACGAAACUUGGUAAAUAUAAUAAUAAUAAUUGAAUCUAUUAUUCGCAACUAAUCGACAUAUUAUUCUCAAUAUCAUUUGGUCUUCGCGUUCCCACGUGAAUUCUGGCCCACGUUUCGCGUUCCACCGUACUUUCACGCUCGGGAUGCGGCUUUACUUGGUACGCUUCACCUCCAUGUCCAUGAUUUCAACCGGUUCUUCAACGAACAGGAGAUUCUCGUUGAUUUCAAUCUCGUCAAGGGGAAUGACGAGUGUUUCAUCUGAUAGGCACUUCUUUAGAUUGGAGACAUGGAACACGGGGUGUACAUUGUUUAGCUCCGCGGGUAGCUGCAGUUUGUACGCCACUGGACCUAUUCGGGCAACGAUCUCGAAAGGUCCAAUGUAUCGUGGGUUCAGUUUUCACCGUUUUCCGAAAUAAAUGACUCCUUUCUAAGGCGAAACUUUUAAAAGCACUCGAUCCCCGACCUGAAACUCUAAGGGCUUUUUCCGUUUAUCAGCGUAGCUCUACUGUCGGUCGCGCAAUGCUUGUAAUCGAGCUCUGAUUUGAACUAUCUUUUUUGUGGUUUCACGAAUGAUCUACGGUCCCGUUAGCGCCUUGUCCGAUGCUAGUGUCUUUGCUAGCUGGGUGUCACCCACCUCAGCCCAACACAACGGUGAUCUACACUUACGUCCAUAUAGUGCUUCGAAAGGAGCGACUUUGAUGCUCGAAUAGUAACUGUUGUUAUAAGAGAAUUCAACUAAGGGUAAGUGGAUGUCCCAAGACUUCCCAAAGUCUAUCACACAUGCGCGAAGCAUGUCUUCGAGCGUCUGAAUGGUUCGUUCGCUUUGACCGUCCGUUUGUGGGUGAUAAGCGGUGCUCAUGUCGAGAUGGGUUCCGAGUGCUUUCUGAAGUGAUUGCCAAAAACGUGAAGUGAAUCUACUGUCUCUAUCUGAGAUGAUAGACACUGGUAUUCCAUGAAGUCUCACGAUUUCUCGAAUGUAUAAACGCGUCAGUCUCUCCAUCUUGUAGGAUUCUUUUAUUGGCAGGAAAUGGGCGGAUUUCGUCAGUCGGUCAACUAUUACCCAUAUAGUGUCUAAUCCGUCCGACGUCUUGGGUAGCUUGGUCACAAAAUCCAUAGAAAUCCCUUCCCACUUCCACUCGGGAAUCACCGGUUGCUGUAAUAAUCUCGAGGGCUUCUGGUACUCCACAUUUACCUUGGCACAAGUAAGGCACUUACUGACAUAGGUGGCAAUUUCUGCCUUCAUGUUAGGCCACCAAUAGUGUUGUUUAAUAUCCAAAUACAUCUUGUCCGAACCGGGAUAGAUGGAGUAUCGCGUCUUGUGGGCUUCCUUCAUGACUACCUCCCUAAAUCCUCCGAGUUUAGGGACCCAAAUACGGUUCAUGAAAUGGUAUACUCCGUCCUCUCUCACCUCUAGGUUCUUUUCCAUUCCGCGUAAUGCUUCGCUUGCUCUGUUUUCCGUCUUCAUGGCAUCUGACUGGGCUACCCCGAUCUGAGUGGUUAGGUGAGAUUGGAUGGUUAUUGAGAGAGUUUUUGCACGACGAUUAGAGUACUCCUUCCGGCUCAAGGCAUCAGCUACCACGUUGGCCUUGCCCGGGUGGUACUUGAUUUCACACUCGUAAUCGUUUAAUAAUUCAACCCAUCUUCGUUGCCUCAUAUUCAGCUCUUUCUGAUUCAAGAUAUGCUGGAGACUUUUGUGGUCCGUGAAGAUGGUGCACUUCGUACCAUAAAGGUAAUGCCUCCAAAUCUUCAGAGCAAAGACCACCGCUCCCAAUUCCAGAUCAUGGGUUGUAUAAUUCACUUCGUGUGUCUUUAGUUGGCGGGAUGCGUAAGCUAUCACUCUUCCACGCUGCAUGAGAACGCAACCUAAACCCUGAUUUGACGCGUCACAGUAGACCACGAAAUCUUCCGUUCCCUCUGGUAGAGAUAGUACCGGGGCACUGCAGAGCAUUUGCUUCAGGGUUCGGAAUGCAACUUCUUGUUUGUCCGUCCAUUUGAAUGGUACGCCCUUUUGUGUAAGCGAGGUAAGUGGCUUGGCGAUCUUAGAGAAGUUUUGAAUGAACCUCCUAUAGUAGCCUGCUAGGCCUAAGAAUUGGCGAAUUUCUGUGGGUGUUGUCGGGACUGCCCAUCCUUCGACGGCUUUGACCUUAGAAGGAUCCACAUGAAUUCCUUCUUGACUAACAACAUGACCUAGGAAGUUCACGCUACGGAGCCAGAACUCACACUUGGAGAGUUUUGCGUAUAGCUUUUCCGUUCGCAGGGUUUCUAGGAUUUGUCGGAGAUGUUGGCCAUGCUCUUCCUCGCUUCGGGAAUAGACGAGAAUGUCGUCAAUGAAGACGAUGACAAAGUUGUCGAGGAAUGGUCGACAGAUUCGGUUCAUCAGGUCCAUAAAUGCGGCAGGGGCAUUUGUUAGACCGAAGGGCAUUACGACAAAUUCAUAAUGUCCGUAACGAGUUCGGAAAGCGGUUUUAGGAAUAUCCUCUUCCCGGACUUUGAGUUGAUGGUAUCCGGACCGUAGAUCUAUCUUAGAGAAGUAACUAGCUCCUUGGAGCUGGUCAAAUAGAUCGUCGAUUCGUGGGAGUGGAUAGCGAUUUUUGACAGUGAGUUUAUUUAACUCCCUGUAAUCGAUGCACAUUCUAAAAGAUCCGUCCUUCUUUUUGACAAAGAGGACUGGAGCUCCCCAUGGCGAGUNAAAUUUACACUUUUAACCCUUUGUGUAUAAAAGAAUUUCCAUUUUAGUCCUUAAACUAUUUUUCUUGACACUUUAGUAUCAAAACUUAUUGGAAAGACAUUUUUAGCACAAAUUUACUUGAUAAACAGCUUAAGUCCUUCAAAAAUGAAAUUUUCUCGGUUGAAACCUCCAUUUUCGCAACUUUUACAAUUUUGGCCCAAAAUGGAAAUUUUUUGCAUCUUUGGUCCCUUUUUAAUUUGAAAAGCAUUUUUGACCCUUGAAAUAGAUUUAGUAUACUAGUAAUCCCCUGUUUUACAGAAUUGUGCAGUUUCAGCCCCUAUAAUUCAAAAAUCUCGCAAUUUGGGGCUUUAUUGGGCCGAAAAGCCCAUUUUGGCCCUUUAUGUUUAAAAUUCACAUUAUUAACCCUUCAAAAGUGUUGAUAUUCAGAAAAUACAUAUUAGAAACUGUUUAGACUCAUCUCAACCUUCAGAAUUUAUAUUUUGUCGUUUUGGGCCCCUUAGUUUUGUAUUUUUGGCAUUUUGAGCCCAAAAAUGGGUUUUAAGUCCAAAAAUGUUCAUAUUAACCAACUAGAUUAUUUUUCUAGACUUGAUUAGUGUGAAAUGGUAUAAGUUAUACUUAUUUCAUUCUUCAUAUUGUAGAUCUCGGUUUUUAGGUUCUUUUUGGCUAGUAUAAACAUCACAAUCACAUAAGAUCAUACAUAUAAGCAUAAAAAUCACACAAGGCAUACAUUUACUCAUAGAUCUACACAUUUGCUUGUAUUCUCCCCCACAAAACUUAUAAAAACCGAAAAAGAGGGGGUAUGAAGCUCACCUUUGGGUGUGGUUUCGGUUUUUGGAAGAAAAUGAGAAGAAUUUCGGCCUUAGCAACCUUCCUUGGAAGAUUUCGAACUUGAAUGCUUCUUAGGUGCUAGAUCAUGAGUUUGAAUGAAUUAAGAGGUGAUUUUUGGAUGAAAUGAAGUAGCUAGUUUAAGGAUCUAAGAGAUUUCUUACCUUAGAUGAUGAUUUUUGUGUAAAAAUCCCCUUGAACACUUCUUAGAUCUCGAAAUAUGGAUGAGAUAUGAGAGAGUUUUCUUGAGAGAAAGGAGAGUGAAGUGUGUGUGUGUGUGUGCUUGAAGUCGGCCGAGAGCAAGAGAGAGAGGGAGAAAAAGAGUUAGCUAGUCAUGGAAGUAUGUGAGUGCAUGGAUGUUUGGGUCUUCUUGCAUGGAAGUCCCUUGAACAAUGGUGAGGUGGCACUCACAAAGUCAACUCUCCUCUUCUUUUGGGCUUGGGCCGAGACCGGGGAGGGUGAGAGGAGGUUUUUGGGCUUUUUGCCCUUAAGCCCAUGUUAUAACUAGGUUGGAUGAUUUUUGGCCCUAAAAAAAAUAUAAAUGUGAUUUUUAUGACUUAUUAGGCUAGAUUAGGUUAAUUAUGGUCCAAAAUGGUUCAUAUAAUUAAUCUAUUUCAUUCUAGGCCCAAUAUGGCCUAAAAUAUUAAAUUAAAUGGAUGUGGGUCCCAUUAGAGCCCAUUUAAGAGUUCUAAGCCCAAGAUAGCCAAAUUGGAGGCUUAUUGGUCCAUUGGGCCCAAUAAGGAAGUCCUAGUCCAAAAUGGACUUAAACAAGAACUUCUAGGGUUUCCAGUUGCUUAAUGACUAUUUGAAUUGCUUGCAUGAGAUGUUUGAUUGAAAUUUUGCUGUCAUAGAGUAUGCAUCAUACAUGCUCUUAUGUUUUUGAUUCAUAAUUUGGUUUAAGUGUUGGUUACAAGGCACAAAAAUUUCUAAUUGUGACAUAAUUGAAAAUGGUACCAUCAAGGUUGUCUAUGUCAAGACAAGUAGGAACUUGGCAGAUCUGUUUACCAAACCUCCGACGAGAGAUUUGGUUACAUCUACCACGAGAGUCAUGGGUCUAAAACCAUAAUAGAAUCGUUUAGUGAUGGAAACCCAACUUGAAAUUAGUGCUCCUAAUUUUCAAGUUUAACGGGUAUCAACGAAAUCACUAACGAUAGAAGGUACUAUCAUUCAUGAUAGAUCCAUGUGAGGUAGGAUAGUACGUCGUUACCGAGAACGAGGUUGAGUUACGACUCUUAACAUAGUUUUGGAGACAUCUAAGCAACGAAGAUGUUGUAAAACUUUGCCUAUAUGAUCUAGAGGUGGUGUCGCCUCAAGUGAAGAUUAGUGGUUUAUCUUCUAAAGAGUCAUGAAAAGGAUUUAUAACGCAUGGCCAUAAUAGCGCUCAGGGAGAACACAAAUAUGACUUGUGAUGUGUGGGGGUAACCCGGAGAGGUCAUUGAGGUUC
rnacentral:lncRNA from 1 species